rnacentral:rRNA from 1 species
GACGAACGCUGGCGGCGUGCUUAACACAUGCAAGUCGAACGGUGAUGCUCCAGCUUGCUGGGGUACACGAGUGGCGAACGGGUGAGUAACACGUGGGUGACCUGCCCCGCACUUCGGGAUAAGCCUGGGAAACUGGGUCUAAUACCGGAUAGGACCGCACCGUGAGGGUGUGGUGGAAAGUUUUUCGGUGUGGGAUGGGCCCGCGGCCUAUCAGCUUGUUGGUGGGGUAAUGGCCUACCAAGGCGGCGACGGGUAGCCGGCCUGAGAGGGUGGACGGCCACAUUGGGACUGAGACACGGCCCAGACUCCUACGGGAGGCAGCAGUGGGGAAUAUUGCACAAUGGGCGGAAGCCUGAUGCAGCGACGCCGCGUGGGGGAUGACGGCCUUCGGGUUGUAAACUCCUUUCACCAUCGACGAAGGUUUUCUGACGGUAGAUGGAGAAGAAGCACCGGCUAACUACGUG